rnacentral:rRNA from 1 species
GUAAAAGUCGUAACAAGGUUUCCGUAGGUGAACCUGCGGAAGGAUCAUUACCGAGUUGUCGACACGAGUUGUCGCUGGUCCUCAAACGGGGGCAUGUGCACACUCUGUCCACACAUCCACUCACACCUGUGCACCCUCUGUAGUUCUAUGGUCUGGGGGGCGCGUCGUCUCCUCCCUCCUGUAGCUCUACGUCUUUACACACACACCGCAGCAAAGUCUUAUGGAAUGUGCGCCGCGUUUAACGCAAUACAAUACAACUUUCAGCAACGGAUCUCUUGGCUCUCGCAUCGAUGAAGAACGCAGCGAAAUGCGAUAAGUAAUGUGAAUUGCAGAAUUCAGUGAAUCAUCGAAUCUUUGAACGCACCUUGCGCCCCUUGGCUAUUCCGAGGGGCAUGCCUGUUUGAGUAUCAUGAACACCUCAACUCUCACGGCUCGCCGUGAUGAGCUUGGACUUUGGGGGUUUUGCUGGCCUGUGUGGGUCGGCUCCUCUCAAAUGAAUCAGCCUUCCAGUGUUUGGUGGCGUCACAGGUGUGAUAACUAUCUACGCUCGUGACUGUCUGCCAGGUAACCUUCCACAAUGGGGGUUUGCUGGAGCUCACAAACGUCUCUCCUCAGUGAAGACAGCC